CCAUCAUCAUCAUCAUCAUCACCAUCGUCAUCUCCAUCAUCAUCACCAUCAUCACCUCCAUCAUCAUCAUCAUCAUCACCAUCAUCAUCACCAUUGUCACCAUUGUCACCUCCAUCGUCACCAUCAUCAUCAUCGGCACCUCCAUCGUCAUCAUCAUUGUCACCUCAAUCGUCACCACCACCAUCAUCAUCAUCAUCAACACCAUCAUCAUCAACACCAUCGUCAUCUCCAUCAUCAUCAUCAUCAGCAUCGUCAUCUCCAUCAUCAUCAUCACCAUUGUCACCUCCACCAUCACCAUCACCAUCGUCAUCUCCAUCAUCAUCAUCACCAUUGUCACCUCCAUCAUCACCAUCACCAUCAUCACCUCCAUCAUCAUCAUCAUCAUCACCAUCGUCACCUCCACGGUGUCACCUCCUCCCGGAGUGUCACCUCCCCUUGGUGUCACCUCCACUGUGUCACCUCCACAAAGUGUCACCUCCCCCCACAGCGUCACCUCCCCUCGGUGUCACUUCCACCAUGUCACCUCCCCUCCGUGUCACCUCCACCGUGUCACCUCCACACAGUGUCACCUCCCCUUGGUGUCACCUCCCCUUGGUGUCACCUCCACACCAUGUCACCUCCACCGUGUCACCUCCACAGAUUGUCACCUCCCCAUGGUGUCACCCCACAGUGUCACCUCUCCAAGACAUCACCCCCAGUGUCACCUCCUCGCGGUGUCACCUCCCCAUGGUGUC
rnacentral:lncRNA from 1 species